UAAAUUAAAGAUUCGCACUCGUAUAUCCGUGAGAAUAUGGCUCACAAGUCUCUACCGAACCACCGUAAAUGGUUCGACUACGGGUGACG
rnacentral:ncRNA from 1 species